rnacentral:rRNA from 1 species
UACGUAGGGGGCGAGCGUUGUCCGGAGUUACUGGGCGUAAAGCGCACGCAGGCGGUUUCGUACGUCUGGAGUGACAGUUCCCGGCUCAACUGGGAAAGGUCUUCGGAAACGGCGAGACUUGAGGGCUUCAGAGGGACACGGAAUUCCGGGUGGAGUGGUGAAAUGCGUAGAGAUCCGGAGGAACACCGAAGGCGAAGGCAGUGUCCUGGCGAGUAUCCUGACGCUGAGGUGCGAAAGCCAGGGGAGCGAACGGG